rnacentral:rRNA from 1 species
UACGUAGGGCGCAAGCGUUGUCCGGAAUUAUUGGGCGUAAAGAGCUCGUAGGCGGUUCAGUAAGUCAGGUGUGAAAUCUUUGGGCUUAACCCAAAGCGUGCACUUGAUACUGCUGUGACUUGAGUUCGGUAGGGGAGUGGGGAAUUCCUAGUGUAGCGGUGAAAUGCGCAGAUAUUAGGAGGAACACCGGUGGCGAAGGCGCCACUCUGGGCCGAAACUGACGCUGAGGAGCGAAAGCGUGGGUAGCAACAGG